UACGUAGGGGGCAAGCGUUGUCCGGAAUCAUUGGGCGUAAAGAGCGUGUAGGCGGCCCGGUAAGUCCGCCGUGAAAGUCCAGGGCUCAACCCUGGAAUGCCGGUGGAUACUGCCGGGCUUGAGUCCGGGAGAGGUGAGUGGAAUUCCCAGUGUAGCGGUGAAAUGCGUAGAUAUUGGGAGGAACACCAGUGGCGAAGGCGGCUCACUGGACCGGAACUGACGCUGAGGCGCGAAAGCGUGGGGAGCAAACAGG
rnacentral:rRNA from 1 species